ensembl:lncRNA
GUAUGGCUUUGGAUAUAUGUACUUACAUAUAUGUGUGUGUGUGUAUGUUUUCCUCUUUCCCACAUGAGGCUGCUUCUCUGUGUGAGAAUUCUGGCUUUUUUCUUAGUGCAAGGCCUUCCUCUGUUGCUUUGACAAUGGGCCUGAUUGUGCUCUCACAGACGGGAGGAGCAGUGCAUCUUGGGAGCACACAGCACAGUAGCAUGAAUUAGCAGUUCUGCGCAUCUGCAGUGUUUUUGUUGUUGUUGUUGUUGUUGUUGUUGUUGUCAUCGUUGUUGCUGCUCUGAGCCCUGCUAGCCCUAACCCUCAUCAUGUGACAGGUCUUAACCCCGCAGCUCUCAAGAGACGCGCAACAACAAACAACUCCUUUUUUCAAUCUCGCUGGUGAUUUGUCCAAUCUGAAUGUCAGGAAUGGCAAAUCAGGAGAGAUAAAGUCUCCCUCUUCACCCGUGAUCCUCAGCCUUGCUGCAAGGGCGUCAGUAAAAAGGCAGUGCACACUACAGCUUGACCUGCUGCUUCUGACGGUAUAUCUGAAGGAUCUACGCAUGGCAAGACAGAGACAACACAGAUAGCAAGCUUACUGUGAAACAGGCUCAGACACAAACUAGCUUGGAUCUUGCAGAGGGAUUCCUGACACGCCACGGACGCUCUACUGCCUGGAUGGUCUUUCCCAUCGAUCUGGUGGUCAGGAGAUCCAGUGUGUGUGUGUGUCUGUCUGUCUGUGAUGUUGGUAUACUGGGAAAUUACUACUCGACCAGGAGUCUGCGUUGUUAUACUGGUGGACCAAAUCUGAGUCAUGGAGCUCCAGCUCAAAGAGAGGGCAGCCAGGCACAGCUGUUUCACCUCUGAGAGCUCAGAGAAAGAGCCGUGUGUUGUGGUGAAGAUCGCUCACACCCAAGCGGUGGGCAGUGAUAGUGACAGUCAGGCUAGCAGGAGGAGGAAGAGCAGCACAGGCGGCAGUGACCAGAGUCAGGGGGUCAAUGGAAGAAGGUCCGGUCGCCGGCCCCCUCUACAGCCCAAACCACAAGUGCCUCCUAAGCCUGUUCAUCUGCAGAGUCCGGUGACGGCUCUCCCACACCCCCUGAGCCGGACCCCACAGAGGAGAUCUGAGAUGGAGGACCGAGGAGGAGGAGGUGGAGGAGUAGGAGGAGGAGGAGGAGUGGCAGGGAGAGGGCGAGCAGCAGGAAAUGGGACAGGAGUUGGAACAGGAGGUGCAGCUGGGAAGGGCAGAGUUCUGAACCUCAUUAGCCGCUUUGAGGAGGGCAGGUAAAAAACUAGUGUGUGCGUGUGUGUGUGUGUGUGUGUGUGUGUGUGUGUGUGUCUGUUUGUGAUAGGAAAACAGAUGGAAAGAUGGAAAAUAAUCUUACACACCCACUGUGUAAUUAAUUAUCUGCCAUUGUUAGAUGAUAAUAACAGCACUUGGAGGGCCUGUAGGCCUACAACACAAAGGACACAUUUACACAUUGUAAAAUAUGCUCAAAUCGUCUCCAGUUGACCUUCAGGUCCAGAUUCAUGGCUAGAUGGGGGACGAUGAGUCCCUGUGAGGGCAGCAGCUUUGUCAGCUUUUGAGAGGAGCUGUCCCUGUCGGCUAGCUGUGGUGUGAUGUGAGGUGACACGACGUGACAUUAGGGGCUGUGGUGUGUGAAGGGUGGAGCUGUAGAGAGGAGGUCAUUGAUGACAGGACUGAAUCACUGAUGGCAGUGUGUGAGAAAGAUAUGGGAUAUGGAAAGGGGGUCGUGUCUAAUACAGCAGCCAUAGACAGUUCUUCCACAAGAGAGUCGUAGUCCUUUAAACUCGCUUCUGCGCCUCAGAUUCUGCUCUUUAAAAAGUAGAGAUUUGACAUCACAUGUAUGAAUCGGGGCACAUGUGUUUGUAGGGCAGCCAGUCUGGGAGUCUCGCCAGUAUCCAGUCACUGAGUGUCAAAUGGAAUCUGUCAUUGUAUUGAUGAUUGGAGUUCACACAACAGUGCAGUUGUGACCGGCUUGUGCUUGGAUUUUUUUAUUUGUGUGUCUGUGUGUCUGUGUGUGUGUGUGUGUGUGUGUGUGUGUGAGUGUCUGUCUCUCUCUGUGUGUGUGUGUGUGUGUGUGUGUGUGUGUGUGUGUGUGUGUGUGUGUGAGUGUCUGUCUCUCUGUGUGUGUGUGUGUGUGUGUGUGUGUGUGUGUGUGUGUGUGUGAGAGUGUGUGUUUCUGUGUGUGUGUGUGUGUGUGUGUGUGUGUGUGAGUGUGUGUGGGGGGGGGGGGGGGAUAUGUGUAUGUGUGUGUGUAAUCCAU